rnacentral:lncRNA from 12 species
AUGUGUACGUGGAAUCUGCAUGGGGGCAAGAGAGGACCCACCAGGAACCUCCACUUCUUUCAUCCUCCUUUUGCUCUCCUCUACUGCUCUGCCUAUGGGGAUAGGAUCCUCCACAGGGGGCCCUCACUCUUGCCCUCCGUCCAUUCUUCACUCUCCUCUGACUCUGCUCCCAUCUUUCACGUCUCCCUUCUUGGCCUGUCCUUGCAUACGACCCCCCUUUGGGCACCCCCUUCUGAAACCCACCCAUCUGUUUUCUCCAGAGCCGCUGGCGUGGAUGGAUGGAUGGAUGGAUCCACUCAAAGAUGGAUAAGAAAAGUAGCACGGAAACAGUCUUCCACAUCUGUCUGAAGAUCUGGAUAAUUGGCGGGUGUAGAAAGAAAGCCAUGGAGGACUCGUAUCCACCGGGAGAGUGGAAAGGUGAGAAGCAGCUGGUGAAUGACUCAAGAAGGUUGAAGUCUGGAACAAAACACUCCAAAACCUCCCUACGUAUAUAAUGGAAGGAAGGUGGACAUCUUUUUUUUUUUUUUUUUUUUUUUUUGGAAGUUGGACAUCUUGAUGACUGAAUUGACUCCCAGUGUGCUGUAGUUUUGAUUCUAGUCUUUGUUUCCUCCCUUUCUCCAGAACCCAAAUUUCAGUGACCAGAGUUGCUGCCACACCCAUUUGUUUCCAACAGCCUCUGUGAACAGAGCCUGUCCUGACAGAGAGCAGUAUGGGUUGGUGUUGGAGGCAAAGAGAUCUAGCAGGAAGGAAAAAAAGAAAAGAAAAAAAGCUCUGGUCUUCAGGAAACUCCGUCUAAUGAAAAUAAUACCCGGCUCUUGGGUUUAAGAAAUAAUCACAAAAAAUCAACCAAUAAGGAGACUUUCCUUAUUUGAAAAAAAAUCUUCCUAGAUGAGAAAAUGUUGAGCUAGAUUUUAAAGGAAGUUCAGAAUGUGGAUUGAGGAACGUUCCCUCUCUUGAUGUCAGGUCCCAACCACAAGAACGGCCCUGCCCAGAGCUGGUUGACCAGCAGGCCCUUGGCCUGCAUAUCCUGAGCGAUUGGACGUGAGCCGCUGGAGUCCAGCUAAGGGAUGACGGAGCAGGCAUCUUAUGAAGGAGAGUUUUGGUUUAGGGCUCGACUGGGAGUACCCAGUGCAUUUGCAGUGCCUUUAAGGGAGUGAAGAGCUAGGAGCCCUCGUGGACAUGCAGGUUACCUGCACCGAAACAGACUUGUGUUCUGCUCUCUGGCCAGCCCUAUUCUCUGCUUUUCUUAUCCCAACUUGCCUAAUUGAUACCUUGGCCGAUGGUGUCAUUAACCAUGCUUGAAUAAUAGUCUGACCGGCUGAUUUCAAAAUGGGAGAGGUGAUUAAUAUGUUGGAAAUCCAGCUGGGGGGUGCAGGGAAGCGGUUGUCCCCAGAAACAAACGAUGGGGGAGGGGUCUGUUUGUGUCCCCAUGGCCCAUCUGCUGACUUCAGCCAAAGGGAAGAACUUGGGGAUAGGAGUCUGAUUUCCGGCUCCUUUUCGGUUUGCUGAUCCCUCUCCGUUUCCCCUCCCCUACCUCCCCCAACAGCACACGUUCUGACACCUACAAGCUCGUUACAUGAUGAUGACCUAUAUUUUUAUCUUUUUUAUGAGCAUCAAACACACAUCGUCUUGCAAGCACAUGUGUUUUUUUUUUCCCCUAUUGACGUGUGAGUGCCUUUGAUGGUAAUUUAUUGUAGGGUUGAGCAGCCAGGUCUUAAUUGUACCCUAAAAUUGCUUACCAUUUUGAUGCCUCCAAACCAUCUCAAAAUGUACCUUUUUUUCUACAGAAGGGUGUGGGGCAAUCUCCCUUUUACUGUCUUCUGUGGUAGAAUGUGGAGCUCAGAGAGAACGUGAGGGAGAGAUUCCCCAGCUGGGUUUCAGGGACGCCUUAGUCCCCAGCUUCUAAUUGCAGUUGGGCUGUAUGAAAGUUUUGCUCUACUCAGCAAAACUGAACUCGGUUUUUCCUUCAUGGUUUAGAGUCAACAUGGCUUCGCUGAUUGGUUAGAACGGUCAAUGAGCAGUUUCUACUCCAGCAGUUAGACUUCUUAGGAAAUUUCUGUUGUGGCCACUGGCAUCUGUGAAUCCAGAUGAGAUUAGGAAUGAGAAUGUCGUGCCUUCAUCUAGAGAUCUGGGCUGCGGCAGGCAGCUAACCAAAGCACAGCAGUCCUUCUGAAGUCACUUUGGAAUCACCUCUACUUCCACCUCUAACCACUCCCUCACCUGGAUUAGGUAAAAUUCAGCAUCCCCUUAAAGGAUGUUUAGGGGGAACAGAGGAAGAGGAGGACGAGGAGUGAAGCCCUAAGAAUAUAAGUUUAGCCCAAGCAGAAUUUAGCUCUUAAUUAUAAUUUGAAUUUGGGUCCAAUAGUCUUCUUUUCCCCGGCCUCGCGUUGUCCCUCAGUACAAUAGCGAGCACCAUCAUACCCCAGCUCGCUCAGAUUCAUUGCAGGAGGAUGAGUCAAUGUCCAGAACAACCAGGAAUGUAACGCGCAUCCCAUGGAAGUGUAAGGGGAAAAUGGAGACUAAAGUUCCUACCUCUCUUUCUGGAGAGGCCAGGAGUAGCCCUCAGUGUUGACCCGUGCUGUUGUGCUGGAAACUGGUCGACCUAUAGACUGAGUCCUUGUUAGCUCUUCUACAGACUGUCCAUUCAGCUGAGUUCAUUUGUUCCGUGUCUCCCACACAUGACACUCACCUCAUGUGCCUGCUGGGACUUGUCUCCAGACAUUUAUACAGGCCACUUCCCUCCUCCCCCCACCUUAGGUACUGUUUCUCUGUCCUCUCUGUUCAACCCUGUCCUUUUCCUCUUUGUAUAACUGGUCCUAAAGUCUCUUCCACCAGAGAGCUGCCUUAUUGACCUUAGGAGGCUCCUAGGACUCCACAAUUCUAUAGUUUCUCAACAUUAUAUUAUUUGUAGUUAGUUUCUGUCCUAUUGUCUGCCUAUGUCCACGAAGGGACUUUUGUGGCCAUCUGAAUGAAUCUCCUGACCAAAAUGAAAACUAUCACCAUCACCUUCUUAGGUGGAUACAAGUCUCUCUUCUAUUAAAGGCCUUUCUGUGGGAAGGUGGGAGACUUUACAGUCUUCCUUGACCUUUCAUUUUUAUGUUCAGUGGAAUUGCAUAGAUGCAGAUGAAUCUAGUAAACACAUUAGCUUCCAUGGUGGAGUCUGUAUGAAAUGUUAUUUUCUGUAUGAUAACCGAAGAUUAUUUGUUCUCAAACUUCAGAAACUCAGUCAGGGGGAUUCCCUGGGUGGCUUAGCGGUUUGGCGCCUGCCUUUGGCCCAGGGCGCAGUCCUGGAGUCCCGGGAUCGAGUCCUGUGUUGGGCUCCCUGCAUGGAGCCUGCUUCUCCUUCCUCCUGUGUCUCUGCCCCUCUCUCUCUCUAUGUCUAUCAUAAAUAAAUAAAUAAAUAAAUAAAUAAAUAAAUAAAUA